UACGGAGGGGACUAGCGUUGUCCGGAUUUAUUGGGCGUAAAGAGCGUGUAGGCGGCCCGGUAAGUCCGCUGUAAAAGUCAAAGGCUCAACCUUUGAAUGUCAGUGGAUACUGCCGGGCUAGAGUCCGGAAGAGGCGAGUGGAACUCCUGGUGUAGCGGUGGAAUGCGCAGAUAUCAGGAAGAACACCAACGGCGAAGGCAGCUCGCUAGGACGGUACUGACGCUGAGACGCGAAAGCGUGGGGAGCGAACAGG
rnacentral:rRNA from 1 species